ACGGACCUUUUCGGAGGUUAGUGGCGGACGGGUGAGUAACGCGUGAGAAUAUGCCUACAGGACUGGGACAACAUUGGGAAACUGAUGCUAAUACCGGAUAUGCCGAGAGGUGAAAGGAUUAAUUGCCUGUAGAUGAGCUCGCGUCAGAUUAGCUAGUUGGUGAGGUAAGGGCUCACCAAGGCGAUGAUCUGUAGCUGGUCUGAGAGGAUGACCAGCCACACUGGGACUGAGACACGGCCCAGACUCCUACGGGAGGCAGCAGUGGGGAAUUUUCCGCAAUGGGCGCAAGCCUGACGGAGCAAGACCGCGUGAGGGAGGAAGGCCUUUGGGUUGUAAACCUCUUUUAUUAGGGAAGAUGAUGACGGUACCUAAUGAAUCAGCCUCGGCUAACUCCGUGCCAGCAGCCGCGGUAAUACGGAGGAGGCAAGCGUUAUCCGGAAUUAUUGGGCGUAAAGCGUCCGCAGGUGGUUUUUCAAGUCUGCUGUUAAAGCGUGGGGCUUAACUCCAUAAGGGCAGUGGAAACUGAGGGACUUGAGUGUGGCAGGGGCAAGGGGAAUUCCCAGUGUAGCGGUGAAAUGCGUAGAUAUUGGGAAGAACACCGGUGGCGAAAGCGCCUUGCUGGGCCUGCACUGACACUGAGGGACGAAAGCUAGGGGAGCGAAAGGGAUUAGAUACCCCUGUAGUCUUAGCUGUAAACGAUGGAUACUAG
rnacentral:rRNA from 1 species